rnacentral:rRNA from 1 species
CUCUGCUCAAUGAUUUUAAAUUAAAUGGCCGCAGUAUCUUGACUGUGCAAAGGUAGCAUAAUAAAUAGUUUUUUAAUUGAAGACUUGAAUGAAUGAGGGGAUAAAAUUUUAACUGUCUCAAAUUUAUUAAUUGAAAUUUAAUUUAAGUAAAAAUUCUUAAAUUAUUUAAGGGGACGAGAAGACCCUAUAGAAUUUAAAAUUAUUAAAUAAAUUUAAUAUAAAAUUUAAUUAUUGGAUAUAUUUAAUUAUUUUUUAUUGGGAGGAUAGUUAAAUUUAAAAAACUUUAAUUUAAUUUAAACAAUAUUUAUUGAUUUAAUGAAAUAAGAUUAUUUUUUUUAAGAAAAAUUACCUUAGGGAUAACAGCAUAAUAUUUUUGAAUAGAUCUUAUUGAUAAAAGUGUUUGUGACCUCGAUGUUGAAUUAAAAUAAAAUUUGAAUGAAGGAUUUCAAUAUUUA